rnacentral:tRNA from 1 species
GAGGGAUGGCCGAGCGGUCGAAGGCGACGGCUUGCUAAGCCGUAGCUGGGCCUCAAAAGCUCAGCCGCGGGUUCGAAUCCCGCUCCCUCC